AGCUCAGCCAACGACCCGCACCUGCAUCUCGUCAACCUCCUCCUCUGCCUGCCACACCUGCCAGCAAUCAACUCCACCUCUGCCAGUACUUCAACCCCAGUUCUCCACACUACCUCUGCUUGAUCGUCGUUGCCCCUAACCCGGUUCACUCACCUUCAUCCCCAGCCAAGUCGGCUGGGCUCGCUCACCUGCCCUCUCCCUUUGGACUCCCCCCACGGCGUCCCCCCAGUUCUCCUCUGCCUCUUCCUCGGCCCCAGUGUCCCCCGGCUCUCUGGUCUCAGUCUCCCCGAGCCUGUGUUUCCUCGGCAUCCACCUCUCCCUCAACCCCUUUUUUCCCCAAUAAAACCUGUCUAUCUUGA